AUAAAAAUGCAGACACAGUAACAGAGUGCUCUUCUCGACUUCUCUUCUCCUUCGCCACUGAUCCACUCUCUCCACUCUCCACGUCCAGUGGCAGCGAGUCUCUCUCCUGCGAUUUAGGCUUCGUUGUUUUUCUUCUUCGUUCUCAGAGUGACAAAGGAAUCACUCUGCACAGCCAGAUAGAACGUGCAGCCACUACUGGCCGUCCACGUGUCCCCCAUCGACGGCGCUAACAUGGGUCUGGGACCCUUUAUGAUCAGCUGUGACAGAGAGGAUUCUCUUCCUCCGCCUCCAUUGAUUUGAAGAUGCUAAUACUAUAUAACUUCCAUUCUUCUAUAUAUAUAUAUAUUGCUUCGAAGUAUACAGAGAAGAGUAGAGCAAAUUGUGUCAGGAUUUUCAUCAAUUUCUGUUUUUUGGAAGAAAAUGGAGAUUCCGAGAUUGUUGGUUCUGGUCGCAGUUUUUGCUCUUCUUUCACUACUCCUGGUUGUUCCUUCCGUCAAUGCUCAAGUCUCCGCGCCAGCUCCUGCUCCUUCAAGCGAUGGGGUAGCGAUUGAUCAAGGAAUAGCAUAUGUGUUGAUGCUGGUUGCUUUGGCUGUCACCUACAUUCUUCAUUGAUGCAUUUGAGUGAAAGCUUAUUCUUUCUCAAGUUGAUGAGUUGAUUCGUUCUGUAUAUGUUCGCCAAUUGACAGAUCUUGUUUUUUUGGAUUUGUUCUUGUUUAUUCCUUCCUUCCUUCCCCAUCUUCUCUACACAUUUAGCUGUCGCUCCCACGUAAAUUUUGUAGUUGGUGACGGAGUCACUUUGAGUAUCCACUAUCCGUCUACAUGCCCUCCAAAUAAAGAAAGGCUAAAUUGUUGAUAUU